rnacentral:rRNA from 1 species
GAGUCUGCAACUCGACUCCGUGAAGUCGGAAUCGCUAGUAAUCGUGGAUCAGAAUGCCACGGUGAAUACGUUCCCGGGCCUUGUACACACCGCCCGUCACACCAUGGGAGUGGGCUGCACCAGAAGUAGAUAGCUUAACCUUCGGGAGGGCGUUUACCACGGUGUGGUUCAUGACUGGGGUGAAGUCGUAACAAGGUAGCCCUAGGGGAACCUGGGGCUGGAUCACCUCCUUACAAAAAAGA